CCUGCCAGUAGUCAUAUGCUUUGUUCAAGGGCUAAGCCAUGCAUGUCUCAGCGCAAACGGUUCAACAGUGGGUCUGUGAAUGGCUCCUUACAUCAGCAGUCAUCUAUGUGAUAGAGUGUGGUUGCAGCAGCCAUGCUGCCAUUCGGACAUCCACGAAAACCUUGUGGCUAAUACACGUGUGAAGGUGUCCUCCUGGACCCUCAUGGGAUUGAGUUGGAUGCUUUGCCCAGCCCAACAGAAGGACUGCACCCAGCCGAAACAAAGACCAGUGCAGGUAACACUGCAAAGUCUUGUUGACUCAGGCUGGUCCGAAUGGACAUUGUGCUGGCUUGUUUAAGACGUGACAUGAUCACGCAAGCUUGAUCACACGAACUUCUGACCUAUCAGCUUGGACUGUGGUGUAGUGGACCACAGUGGCUUUGACGGGUAACGGAGAAUUUGGGUUCGAUUCCGGAGAGGGAGCCUGAGAGAUGGCUACCACUGCCAAGGCGGGCAGCAGGCGCGCAAAUUGCCCAAUACCAAACUGGUGAGGCAGCAACGAACUGCAGCAAUUCUGCUGUUUUUUCAGCAGGACUUGGAAUGGAUGCUAUCCAAACACAGUGAUGAGUAACAACUGGAGGGCAAGUCUGGUGCCAGCAGCUGCGGUAAUUCCAGCUCCAAGGGCGUAUACUAACAUUGCUGCUGUUAAAGCACUUGUAGUCUGCCACUGGGAUGCAGGUCUGCUGGGUGGCCUGGCAUGUGCUCCUGACCGCUUUGGCGUGAUGGUGUGUGUGCUGGGGUAAAACCCCCAGUAGAAUGUCCUGCUCCCGCAUAUUUCAUCGAUGGUGAAUUGGCUCCAGCCCAAGUCUCCUUCAGUGGGGACUCAGGCGGUGUUAUGCCACAAGCAUGUGUGGGAGCAAUGUCAGUCAAUGCAAGAGUCUGUUGAAUGGGCUGUCACCCACCACCGGAGUCCACCAUCACUGACACUAUGGAAAACUCAGUGUGCUCCAAGCGUCCUGUCUAUGGCUGGAUGCCCGUCCAUGGAAUGUCAAAGCACCGACCGAAUGGGCACUAGAGUUGUGCUGGCCUUGUGGCCCAUUGCAGGACAAUGUGGGGCUGUCCCCAGCUUCAGGGCCUUCCUCAGGGUUGGACUCCUGUUGCCUGUGGGUCAGUUUCCGACCGAAGAUGAUGGGAGUGCUCAGGGUGAAAGGUAUUGCAACGCCAGAGGUGAAAUUCUUAGACCGCUGCAAGACCAACUGCAGCGAAGGCGUUCUGCAAGGGCACGUUCGUCGAUCAAGAAUGAGAGUGUGGGGAGCGAAGAUGAUCAGACACCGUCGUAGUCCACUACUGUAAACGAUGCCAGCUCGACAUUGGUGAGGCAUUUCUUCGAACCCUAUCAGUGUCAUGCCCCCUUCAACGAGAAAUCCAAGCCAUUGGGUUCAGGGGGGAGUACUGUCGCAAGGCUGGAACUUAAAGGAAUUGACGGAAUGGCACCACAAGGCGUGGAGUAUGCGGCUUAAUUUGACUCAACACGGGGAAUGUUACCAGGUCAGGACCUUGCAGGGAUGGACAGAUUGAGAGCUCUUUCUUGAUUCUUGGGAUGGUGGUGCAUGGCCGCUCCUGAUUGGUGGAGUGAUUUGUCUGGUUGAUUCCGAUAACGAGUGAGAUAUCUGCCUACCACUAGCCCCAUUCUCGCACUUGUAGGGUGGGCUCCAGUCAGCCCUGGCUCGCCUGUGGAGGGCUGUGGUCCCCUGAGAGUUAUGGGAUUGCUUCUCUGAGGUGCUGUGUUCGCUGCCAAGAGCACGCAUGCUAGAGCCAACAGCAGGUCUGUGAUGCUCCCAGAUGUCCUGGGCCGCACGCGCACUACAUUGACUCAGUGAAGGUGUCAUGCUCCCUUGUGGCGCCCUGCCCAGAAGUGGGUGGGAAACCCUGCAAAACUGAGUCGCGCUGGGGAUAGAUGAUUGCAACUGUCUGCCUUGAACGAGGAAUGCCUAGUAUGCCUGUGUCAUCAGCACAGACCGAUUGUGUCCCUGCCAUUUGUACACACCGCCCGUCGUUGCUACCGAUGACAGCUGGAUAGAGCCAUCAGGAGGUUUUGGGGGCUACUCGUAGUCCCAGCCAAAAUUGGGCAAUGUCCAGCUGUUAGAGGAAGCAAAAGUC
rnacentral:rRNA from 1 species